rnacentral:rRNA from 1 species
CCUGGCUCACGAUGAACGCUAGCUACAGGCUUAACACAUGCAAGUCGAGGGGCAGCAUGGUCUUAGCUUGCUAAGGCCGAUGGCGACCGGCGCACGGGUGAGUAACACGUAUCCAACCUGCCGUCUACUCUUGGACAGCCUUCUGAAAGGAAGAUUAAUACAAGAUGGCAUCAUGAGUCCGCAUGUUCACAUGAUUAAAGGUAUUCCGGUAGACGAUGGGGAUGCGUUCCAUUAGAUAGUAGGCGGGGUAACGGCCCACCUAGUCUUCGAUGGAUAGGGGUUCUGAGAGGAAGGUCCCCCACAUUGGAACUGAGACACGGUCCAAACUCCUACGGGAGGCAGCAGUGAGGAAUAUUGGUCAAUGGGCGAGAGCCUGAACCAGCCAAGUAGCGUGAAGGAUGACUGCCCUAUGGGUUGUAAACUUCUUUUAUAAAGGAAUAAAGUCGGGUAUGGAUACCCGUUUGCAUGUACUUUAUGAAUAAGGAUCGGCUAACUCCGUGCCAGCAGCCGCGGUAAUACGGAGGAUCCGAGCGUUAUCCGGAUUUAUUGGGUUUAAAGGGAGCGUAGAUGGAUGUUUAAGUCAGUUGUGAAAGUUUGCGGCUCAACCGUAAAAUUGCAGUUGAUACUGGAUAUCUUGAGUGCAGUUGAGGCAGGCGGAAUUCGUGGUGUAGCGGUGAAAUGCUUAGAUAUCACGAAGAACUCCGAUUGCGAAGGCAGCCUGCUAAGCUGCAACUGACAUUGAGGCUCGAAAGUGUGGGUAUCAAACAGGAUUAGAUACCCUGGUAGUCCACACGGUAAACGAUGAAUACUCGCUGUUUGCGAUAUACUGCAAGCGGCCAAGCGAAAGCGUUAAGUAUUCCACCUGGGGAGUACGCCGGCAACGGUGAAACUCAAAGGAAUUGACGGGGGCCCGCACAAGCGGAGGAACAUGUGGUUUAAUUCGAUGAUACGCGAGGAACCUUACCCGGGCUUAAAUUGCAGAUGAAUUACGGUGAAAGCCGUAAGCCGCAAGGCAUCUGUGAAGGUGCUGCAUGGUUGUCGUCAGCUCGUGCCGUGAGGUGUCGGCUUAAGUGCCAUAACGAGCGCAACCCUUGUUGUCAGUUACUAACAGGUUCCGCUGAGGACUCUGACAAGACUGCCAUCGUAAGAUGUGAGGAAGGUGGGGAUGACGUCAAAUCAGCACGGCCCUUACGUCCGGGGCUACACACGUGUUACAAUGGGGGGUACAGAGGGCCGCUACCACGCGAGUGGAUGCCAAUCCCCAAAACCUCUCUCAGUUCGGACUGGAGUCUGCAACCCGACUCCACGAAGCUGGAUUCGCUAGUAAUCGCGCAUCAGCCACGGCGCGGUGAAUACGUUCCCGGGCCUUGUACACACCGCC